UACGGAGGGUGCGAGCGUUGUCCGGAAUCACUGGGCGUAAAGGGCGCGUAGGCGGUGGGAUAAGCGCAUGGUGAAAGCCCGGGGCUCAACCCCGGGUCGGCCGUGCGAACUGUCCGACUCGAGCACUGUAGAGGCAGGUGGAAUUCCGGGUGUAGCGGUGGAAUGCGUAGAGAUCCGGAAGAACACCGGUGGCGAAGGCGGCCUGCUGGGCAGUGGUCUAACGACCGGGCGAUGAAAGUCGUCUGCUGACGCUGAGGCGCGACAGCGUGGGGGAGCAAACAGG
rnacentral:rRNA from 1 species